GAUGAGCCCGCGGCCUAUCAGCUAGUUGGUGAGGUAACGGCUCACCAAGGCUAAGACGGGUAGCUGGUCUGAGAGGACGACCAGCCACACUGGAACUGAGACACGGUCCAGACACCUACGGGUGGCAGCAGUCGAGAAUUUUUCACAAUGGGGGAAACCCUGAUGGAGCGACGCCGCGUGGGGGAUGAAUGGCUUCGGCCCGUAAACCCCUGUCAUUCGGGAUCAAUGCCUGCGGAUUAAUACCUCGCAGGUUGAUAGUACCGGAAGAGGAAGGGACGGCUAACUCUGUGCCAGCAGCCGCGGUAAUACAGAGGUCCCAAGCGUUGUUCGGAUUCACUGGGCGUAAAGGGUGCGUAGGUGGUCGGGUAAGUCUGAUGUGAAAUCUCGGAGCUCAACUCCGAAACGGCAUUGGAUACUAUUCGGCUUGAGAGUUGGAGGGGGGACUGGAAUUCUCGGUGUAGCAGUGAAAUGCGUAGAUAUCGAGAGG
rnacentral:rRNA from 1 species